UAACGUAUUUAGCCACAUAGAAACCAACAGCCAUAUAACUGGUAGCUUUAAGCGGCUCACCUUUAGCAUCAACAGGCCACAACCAACCAGAACGUGAAAAAGCGUCCUGCGUGUAGCGAACUGCGAUGGGCAUACUGUAACCAUAAGGCCACGUAUUUUGCAAGCUAUUUAACUGGCGGCGAUUGCGUACCCGACGACCAAAAUUAGGGUCAACGCUACCUGUAGGAAGUGUCCGCAUAAAGUGCACCGCAUGGAAAUGAAGACGGCCAUUAGCUGUACCAUAUUCAUGCACACAAAAAUACUGAUAGCA
rnacentral:rRNA from 1 species